rnacentral:rRNA from 1 species
CCUACGGGAGGCAGCAGUGGGGAAUUUUGGACAAUGGGCGCAAGCCUGAUCUAGCCAUGCCGCGUGAGUGAUGAAGGCCCUAGGGUUGUAAAGCUCUUUCGCCAGGGACGAUAAUUAUCGUCCCUGGC